UACGUAGGGGGGCAAGCGUUGUCCGGAUUUACUGGGCGUAAAGCGCGUGUAGGCGGAGCGUUAAGUCUGGCUUGAAAAGCCCCCCGGCUCAACCGGGGAGAGUGGCUGGAAACUGGCGUUCUUGAGGGCGACAGAGGAGUGUGGAAUUCCUGGUGUAGCGGUGAAAUGCGUAGAGAUCAGGGAGGAACACCCGUGGCGAAGGCGACUACCCUGGCCUGUUCUUUGACGCUGAGGCGCGAAAGCUAGGGAGCAAACGGG
rnacentral:rRNA from 1 species